CUUCCCCUUCGCCUUCGACAGUUUCUUGCAGUCUGUUUCCUCUUUCUUUGCGUAUCAUCCUACAACUCUCGUCAUCUUCCUAUUGUAUUCGUAUCGUAAAUACAGUUUAACAUAGCCUAAUAGAGACGCCUCGUUCCAGAGAAGAACAGAAUCGUGGAAUAGGUGUGUCGCGACAUUCCUCGUUGGAAUCAUUGAUUACGAACACGUACUCGUCUUCUACACGAAAACUGCAUGUACGUACGUAUAUUAU